rnacentral:rRNA from 1 species
UACAGAGGGUGCGAGCGUUGUUCGGAAUUAUUGGGCGUAAAGGGCGCGUAGGCGGUGCGGUAAGUCACCUGUGAAAUCUCCUGGCUCAACUGGGAGCUUGCAGGCGAAACUGCCGUGCUGGAGUGUGGGAGAGGUGCGUGGAAUUCCACGUGUAGCGGUGAAAUGCGCAGAUAUCAGGAGGAACACCAAUUGCGAAGGCAGCUCGCUGGAACGUAACUGACGCUGAGACGCGAAAGCGUGGGGAGCAAACAGG